rnacentral:lncRNA from 1 species
GUUGACAUGUUCUUUUCCAGGAAAGAGCAGAUCUGUAUUAUGAGUGUUGCACACUAAGCUGAUCAAAUCAUAUACAACAUGAUUCGAUUUCCUAAUUAGCUCUUCAAACGCUCUGAUUCAGUAGAGGUACGUUGGAGAUGGGAACUAAAUUUAUAUGCUUCCUUUUGAGAAUAUGAGGUUGAUGCAUGGAUUUUGGAUAUGCAUGUAACUAUUGUACAGUAAAUAAUAUUAUUAUCCUAUUCUAUAUAAAAAUUUGUUGCAGGAUUAAAUUAAUUGAUAUGGAAGCACUGGGCCUGUCUAGUUUAGCCGUAAUUUAUAUUUUUUUCCCAACAGUACUAAGCUCUUGGCGAAUCAAGUUGUUGGAAGUCGAUGCACCGUGUUUCAAUCGAGAAUGCAGCCAAAAACUGAGCUAUGAGGACUACUACUAACGAGAAGGCUGAAGCAGA